CGUAUAUCUUUUACUUUUUUUUUUUGUCUCCUUUUCUCAUUCCGAUUACGAACCAAUAAUGAGAACGUAAUAUCACGUUAAGUGAAUUAUUUUGAUUUUGAACGUACGUGGAGUCUUACAUAUUUCUAGUAAUUUUAUAAGUUUUACUCUUCUUUUCUUUUCUUUUUUUUUUCUACUGAAGUUUACAACGUUUUCUAAAACUUAUAUCUUUUUAUAUAAUUGAGCUCUACUAAAGUAUCACAACUUUUCUUCAAAUUGAAUUGCGAUUAGAAAAAUAAAUUAAAAGAAAAACAUACAGUACUAUUGUUAAUCCUCAAAGAGAGUUAAAAUAUCAAAUGCAAAUAAUAUGAAAUGAGAAACAUAAAUGUUGAAAAGAACAAAAAAAAAUAAAAAAAUUGCCUACUACUAAGUCUUAGUACAUAGUAGCAAACUCAUCCUCAUCCUUGUUAGGAUUACUUAGAGCAACUCCAGUGGUGAUUUUUUUGAGGGUACUUAUAUAAAUUGUGGGCCUAUAUUUAAUGCCAAAACAUGAAAAGGGGCCCAAAUAUAAGAGAAUCGAUCCUGUUUUUAGUAGCUGAAGAAGCUGAUAAGAACCGUUACGUGGCACUACGUGAUUUGCGGAUAGGAAAAUAGAAAAAGGAAAAAAUGUUAUUUUUUUCCCAAUUAUUUCUUCUUCCCGACAAAAACUUUCUUCGACCUCUCGAGCUCUCCGGCG
rnacentral:lncRNA from 1 species